UUGAUCCUGGCUCACAACGAAGGUCAUACGGCGCGUCUUAAGCAUGCAAGUCGAACGAGAAAGUAUCCUUCGGGGUACAAGUAAAGUGGCGAACGGGUGAGUAACACGUGGGUAAUCUGCCCUGAAGUUGGGGACAACUCGCUGAAAAGCGAGCUAAUACCGAAUGAGAUAGUCUUUACAUAUGUGAGGAUUAUGAAAGGUUUCGGCCGCUUCAGGAUGAGCCUGCGGUCUAUUAGCUAGUUGGUGAGGUAAAUGCUCACCAAGGCUACGAUAGAUAGCCGGCCUGAGAGGGUGUACGGUCACAUUGGAACUGAGACACGGUCCAGACUCCUACGGGAGGCAGCAGCUAAGAAUAUUCCGCAAUGGGCGAAAGCCUGACGGAGCGACGCAGUGUGGUUGAUGAAGGCCUUACAGGUUGUAAAAACCUUUUAUUCGAGAAGAUGGGCAAGCCUCGAGCUUGCUUGACGGUAUCGAACGAAUAAGCCCCGGCAAAUUACGUGCCAGCAGCCGCGGUAAUACGUAAGGGGCUAGCGUUGUUCGGAAUUAUUGGGCGUAAAGGGCGUGCAGGCGGACUAAUAAGUCGGGUGUGAAAUCUUAUGGCUUAACCAUGAGCUAUUGCUCGAAACUGUUAGUCUAGAGUUUGGAAUAGGGAGACGGAAUUCCUAGUGUAGGAGUGAAAUCUAUAGAUAUUAGGAAGAACACCGGUGGCGAAGGCGGUCUCCUGGUCUAAAACUGACGCUAAAGCGCGAAAGCUAGGGUAGCAAACGGGAUUAGAUACCCCGGUAGUCCUAGCCGUAAACGUUGCAUACUAGGUGUAUGAGGUGUCGAUCCCUCAUGUGCCAAAGCUAACGCAUUAAGUAUGCCGCCUGGGGAGUAUGCUCGCAAGAGUGAAACUCAAAGGAAUCGACGGGGGCCCGCACAAGCGGUGGAGCAUGUGGUUUAAUUCGAUGAUACGCGAGGAACCUUACCAGGGUUUGACAUCUAUCUGAC
rnacentral:rRNA from 1 species